GAACUCGGAGAUAGCUGGUUCUCCUCGAAAUAGCUUUAGGGCUAGCCUCAAAGUGAGAUACGCGGGGGUAGAGCACUGAAUGUUCUAGGGGCCUUCACCGGUUACCGAAAACUAUCAAACUCCGAAUACCGCAGUAUUAUCUUUGGGAGUCAGACUACGAGAGAUAAGUUCCGUGGUCAAAAGGGAAACAGCCCAGACCUACAGCUAAGGUCCCAAAAUGUAAGUUAAGUGGAGAAGGAUGUGGAGCUGCAUAGACAACUAGGAUGUUGGCUUAGAAGCAGCCACUCAUUUAAAGAGUGCGUAAUAGCUCACUAGUCGAGUGACUCUGCGCCGAAGAUAAACGGGGCUGAAACUUACCACCGAAGCUUUGGAUACCCAUAGGGUAUGGUAGAGGAGCAUCGUAUACGGGCCGAAGCGGAAAUGUGAGUUUCCGUGGACUGUAUAGGAGAGAGAAUGUUGGCAUGAGUAGCGAGAGGCAGGUGAGAAUCCUGCCCGCCGAAAAUCUGAGGUUUCCUGAGGAAGGUUCGUCCGCUCAGGGUAAGUCGGGACCUAAGCCGAGAGCGAAAGCUGUAGGCGAUGGACAACAGGUUGAGAUUCCUGUACCACCGAAAGUCGUUUGAAUGAAGUGGGGACGCAGGAGGAUAGACAGAGCACGCCGUUGGUAGAGCGUGUCCAAGCACGGAGUGUAUCGGGUAGGCAAAUCCGCUCGGUGAAAAGCAUGACGUGUGACGGGGAGGGAAAAUAGUACCGAAGCUGUCGAUUUCACACUGCCAAGAAAAGCCGCUAAUGAGACUGUAGGUGCCCGUACCGCAAACCGACACAGGUAGAUGAGGAGAGAAUCCUAAGGCGAGCGAGAGAACUAUUGUUAAGGAACUCGGCAAAAUGACCCCGUAACUUAGGGAGAAGGGGUGCCUGCGAAAGCAGGCCGCAGUGAAAAGGCCCAGGCGACUGUUUACCAAAAACACAGGUCUCUGCGAAAGCGAAAGCUGAAGUAUAGGGGCUGACGCCUGCCCGGUGCUGGAAGGUUAAGGGGAGAGCUUAGCGCGAGCGAAGGUUUGAACUUAAGCCCCAGUAAACGGCGGCCGUAACUAUAACGGUCCUAAGGUAGCGAAAUUCCUUGUCGGGUAAGUUCCGACCCGCACGAAAGGCGUAACGAUCUGGGAACUGUCUCAACAAUAGACUCGGUGAAAUUGUAGUACCGGUAAAGAUGCCGGUUACCCGCAGCAGGACGGAAAGACCCCAUGGAGCUUCACUGUAGCUUGAUAUUGAAUUUCGGCGUUGCAUGUACAGGAUAGGUGGGAGACGAAGAGACCAGGACGCCAGUCUUGGUGGAGUCACCGUUGGGAUACCACCCUUGUAACGUUGAGGUUCUAACUUUGUACCGUGAACCGGUAUGAGGACAGUGUCAGGUGGGCAGUUUGACUGGGGCGGUCGCCUCCUAAAGAGUAACGGAGGCGCCCAAAGGUUCCCUCAGCGCGGACGGAAAUCGCGCGAAGAGUGUAAAGGCAGAAGGGAGCUUGACUGCGAGACAAACAGGUCGAGCAGGGACGAAAGUCGGGCUUAGUGAUCCGGUGGUUCCGAGUGGAAGGGCCAUCGCUCAACGGAUAAAAGCUACCCUGGGGAUAACAGGCUGAUACCCCCCAAGAGUUCACAUCGACGGGGGUGUUUGGCACCUCGAUGUCGGCUCGUCUCAUCCUGGGGCUGAAGUAGGUCCCAAGGGUUGGGCUGUUCGCCCAUUAAAGAGGUACGCGAGCUGGGUUCAGAACGUCGUGAGACAGUUCGGUCCCUAUCCGCUGUGGGCGUUGGAAAUUUGAGUGGAGCUGUCCCUAGUACGAGAGGACCGGGAUGGACGUAGCUCUGGUGCACCAGUUGUUCUGCCAAGAGCAUAGCUGGGUAGCUACCUACGGACGGGAUAAGCGCUGAAAGCAUCUAAGUGCGAAGCCCCCCACAAGAAAAGAUUUCCUCCUUUAAGGUAAGACCCGUGGGAGACUACCACGUUGA
rnacentral:rRNA from 1 species